GGGAACUGUAAGACUCUACUAAAUUCACAGAACUCAUUAUUAUAGUUAUAGUUAGUACAGAGUUGUUCAUUUCAGUAUUUUGUACAGCUCAUUAUUAGCGUGAUUACCAUAAAGAACAACAGAGGCGUUAGUGAUGGCAAUAGUUCUAUAAAUGGCUGUUUACUGGCAUGAAGACCGGUCUACGUUUACGAAUUAAAACAAAGAUGGCGGCCCAUUGCUAGCUAGCAAAGAAUCAGAGUCGCAACGUGGAAUACUGGUUACAAACUUUUUUUUCACCUCCCAGAGGACAGAAUAUUUUUUCAUCCAGAUGAUAAAGGGAGUCUUUUACGUUUCUGGACGUGCUCACAGUGGAACUGCAACACACGAACUGUGUCACAUCAAUACAAACAUAAUGCACUUCUGGGCACCUGGAUGUCUUCAUGAUUCCGGUGAUCAUUGUUCUCAUAGGAUGAGUGGUGAAGAUACGCGGUGAGAGAUAUGGUGCGUGUGAAGACAUUUAACUGCGAGACACAGUUUCCCAUUGAGAGGUCAGAGAAACACUGCUGUAGUUUAGUCUGACUGCUGAGUUGGCUGCAUAAUAAAAACCCAGUUGG